GACGAACGCUGGCGGCGUGCUUAACACAUGCAAGUCGAACGGAAAGGCCCUGCUUUUGUGGGGUGCUCGAGUGGCGAACGGGUGAGUAACACGUGAGUAACCUGCCCUUGACUUUGGGAUAACUUCAGGAAACUGGGGCUAAUACCGGAUAGGAGCUCCUGCUGCAUGGUGGGGGUUGGAAAGUUUCGGCGGUUGGGGAUGGACUCGCGGCUUAUCAGCUUGUUGGUGGGGUAGUGGCUUACCAAGGCUUUGACGGUUAGCCGGCCUGAGAGGGUGACCGGCCACAUUGGGACUGAGGUACGGCCCAGACUCAUACGGGGGGCAGCAGUGGGGAAUAGUGCAAAAUGGGCUGAAGCCUGAUGCAGGAACGCCGCGUGCGGGAUGACGGCUUUCGGGUUGGAAACCGCUUUCGCCUGUGACGAAGCGUGAGUGACGGUAAUGGGUAAAGAAGCACCGGCUAACUACGU
rnacentral:rRNA from 1 species